UACGUAGGCGGAAAAUUAAGUCAGUGGUGAAAUCCUGCAGCUUAACUGUAGAACUGUCAUUGAUACUGGUUUUCUUGAAUACAGUUGAGGUAGGCGGAAUGUGUAAUGUAGCGGUGAAAUGCUUAGAUAUUACACAGAACACCGAUUGCGAAGGCAGCUUACUAAACUGUUAUUGACGCUGAGGUACGAAAGCGUGGGGAGCGAACAGGAUUAGAUACCCUGGUAGUC
rnacentral:rRNA from 1 species